GGCAGCAGUAGGGAAUAUUGCGCAAUGGACGAAAGUCUGACGCAGCAACGCCGCGUGGGUGAUGAAGCAUCUUGGUGUGUAAAACCCUGUCGGUAGGGAAGAAACGUAUAGGUAGUAACUGAUCUAUGCCUGACGGUACCUACAGAGGAAGUCCCGGCUAACUCCGUGCCAGCAGCCGCGGUAAUACGGGGGGGACAAACGUUGUUCGGAUUUACUGGGCGUAAAGGGCGCGUAGGCGGACCUUCAAGUCGAAUGUGAAAACUAUAGGCUCAACUUAUAGCUUGCAUCCGAUACUGUCGGUCUUGAGUUUAUCAGAGGAAAGCGGAAUUCCAGGUGUAGCGGUGAAAUGCGUAGAUAUCUGGAAGAACACCAGUAGCGAAGGCGGCUUUCUGGGGUACAACUGACGCUGAAGCGCGAAGGCUAGGGGAGCAAACAGGGUUAGAUACCCUGGUAGUCCUAGCAGUAAACGAUGGGCACUAGAUGUCGGGAGACGUUGACUCUCUCGGUGUCGCAGCUAACGCAUUAAGUGUUCCGCCUGGGGAGUACGAUCGCAAGGUUAAAACUCAAAUGAAUUGACGG
rnacentral:rRNA from 1 species